CGAACUGCUGCACCCCGGGUCCUGGACCCACAGAGAGGCUGUGACCUCCUAGCACGCCUCACCAGCCCCCUUGCCUGAUCCUUCACCAAAUCUCCUCUUUCUUGGCCUUGGAGCUUCAUGAAGAAGGAGGUCUGAGAGCCCCCCCAUACGCAUCAUCCCAGAAAAGUCUAGGCCCCUUCUAUUCAUUGGUAUUUUUUUUCCCUUUCAUUCAACAAGAAAUUAGUGCAUGUCAGCAUGUGCCAGGCACGAGCAAGGCCGGGAGGCAGGAAGAGGGGCGGCCCCAGGCUACAGGGACCAGCCAGCCCCAUCCCUACCCCCUCUCCUUCUCGCCUGACUCAGCCGACAGCAGGAUGGGAAUAAAGGGCGCCCCACCAGCGUCCUCCAAUUUCCCGCUAUUCAGCUCAGACCUGAGUAGCAGCAGGCAGCCGAAAGGAUUUGCAGCUCUCUCCCAAAACAGCCCUCUUGGCCACCUCCCGCUUCCCACAUGGGCAAAGUCAGGACCACACCUGAGAAGGAGCCAAUUGGAGAAGACCCACCUUGGACCCUUCCUGGAGGAGAGGCAGUUCCCUGGCUGCCAGCACAAAGGCCAGGGCUGGGCCAACGUGCCUGCAAGAGGCCUGAUUUCUUCCUGGAGACUGAAGAGCCUGGGGAUACAACCACAGCUCCCCUCCCCCAGAGCCACCUCACACCCACUGGCCUCCCUGCUCCCCGGAGGGCAAGGGCUGCAGGGACCCAGAGCGAGCACGAAUGUGGUUUCCUCUCAGCCUCACCCCCCAGAGACUUCCGCUGGGCUGUGGCCAACCUGGGCGGAGAUGUCAGCCUCCUCAGGAAGCCUCCUGCUCCGAGGGAGAGAGACAGACAAGCUGACAGUCAGUGGGGCAGGACACAAGGCCACGCCCCUUCCACCGGAGGCAGCAGGUGGGGAGACCCAGGAGAGAAGAGCGGCCGGAGAGGCUGAGGUCAGCAGCCACUUGGCUCUGGAAGCAGCUGCAGAUGUGUGGCCACACCAGCACCAGGGGACCCUAUUCUGCAUCUAUGCUGGGCUGGAAGACUGCAAAACCACUUGGCAGAAGACAUAAAUGAGAAAUCCUGUACCAAGUAAGGAUGAAAAGAAGAAUUGGAAACAAGUAUGCAAUCGGCCACCAACUAUCGAAUGGAAGCAAUAAAAAAGAACUCAACCAGGGCCGGGGAUUUAGCCCAAUGGUUCUGCCGCCUGCCUUGCAAGUGCAAGGAUCCAAGUUCGAUCCCUGGUACCAAAAAAAAAUUGUUUGUGCAAAAAGAACUCAACCCUACCCAUGCUCAUGCCUACACACUCUCGCACACCUUCCCUCUCUCUCCCUCAGAGGGACUCAGUUCCAAGGUGUGAAUACACCAAGUCUGCCCUCCUCAGGGCUGCCGUGCAUGUCAGAUGAGAAGAUGCAGGGAUGGUGCCUGCAGACGUGAACACACUCCACGCAUGUGGAUGAAGUAUCACUUGACCCCAAUUCUUCUCUCAGGGAGAAGGAAGCUCCUGCUGGGUCCUGAAGCUUCUUAGUUUUCUAGUUAGUUUCCUUUUGUUCCUCUCCAAAGCUCUGCUUACCCAGGAGAAUAAUGUCAACACUUAUGAUGCCAUUUUAAUCAUCCCAGGGGCAUUGAUCAUUAUUAUGAAUCCCAAAAUAGCUGAGCUAUUCAUGUUUGACAGUGCGAUCAUGCAGGGCUAUACAUCAUGGAACCUUCAAUGGAGGAUAUGCCUUGGUUUUCCAUGCACCUUCUCAUCUGUCGUCUCACAGAGAGGAGGUAUUCUCCCGAUUAUAGGGGUCCAAAACCAGGGGCCAAGGUGGGUCUGAUCACUCACCAGCUGGAGGACUGUGCUGGAAGGAUGGGCGCAGGUCCCUUCUCUGUUUCAGCAUGAGAUUUGCACACUGAGGGAAGUGUACGGCACCCCCCCACACACACACACACACACACACUGUGGGCUCCAUCUUUUCUCCCUAGCAUUGAGGUUUAAGGUUCCCACCUCCUUCCCAGCCCUGUUUCCUGGUCCCACCACCUCCUCCCCUGGGUCUUGCUCAACAAUGACCUUUUGGCAUCUCUGCCUCUCCCUCUGCACAGCUUCCACCUUGCCUCCCUGACAGGUGUGUUCAUGCCCCGACCACAUACCACCUGCUCCAGACGGACGCCCUCUCUGUUGCCCUCCCUGGCUCAGAUGCUCCUGAAAGCAGAGUCCGGGAUCCAGGCCUAGGGACAGGCACAAACUUAAGUAUCUACAUGGGUUGAAUUGUGUCCUCCCCAAGGCUAUGCUCAAGGUCUAACCUCUCAUUCCUGUGGAUGGAUCUUACUUAGGAAGAGGACCAAGUCCAGAGGAGCUCCCAUAGUGCUUCAGUGGGCUCUAACCCACUGAUGGACUUCCUUAAAAGAAGGAAGAUUUGGACCCAGAAACACUUCGGGAGACCACAAAGGCCUCAUAUUGGAGUAAUGUAUCUAUAAGCCCAAGCAUAAAAAGGAUUGCCAGCAUCACCUGGAAGCCAGUAGAGAGGUCUGGCCCUGACUCUCCCAAGAGCCUUCGGAGGGAACCACCCCUGCCAACACCUUGACUUUGGACUUUACCCUCCAGAACUGGGAGAGAAUUCGAAUGUCAUUUUAAGCGACUCUUGUCUGUUGGGAUUUGUUGCUGCAGCCACAAAGCCCAAACACAGUGUCCACCUCCUUAGGGCUUCUACACUCUCCUAAAAGAAGUGAGGCUGUGGUCACCUGCAUCCAGUUCUUUUGCAUGCAUUGUUACAAGGACAGCUGUGGCCCUGUGGAGCCAGCCCAAAUCCCAGCCCUCUGAGGGCAGGCGCCUUGUGUCCGAAACAGGAGCACCUCAACAACCAAGCACUGAUGUCAGCACCCAGGUUCCAGCACUCAGCAUCAUAAUCAGAAGAGACCAACACCUUGCUGGGCACGCUGACCGGACUCCACCAAUGCUAUUUCCCAGCCUGCAGACCACUCUGCCUGUCUCAGAUCACAGCCACUAAUGGGGUAGGGUGAGCGUCUACAUCCAUCCUGCACACAGCAGGGGCUUAGUCCUUCCGCUGCCCUUCCGGUUACCUGCUGCCCCUUAACUCCAUCCAGAGAGCCCAUUUCAUACAUUCAUUCAUUCAACAAGCCCAUGCUGGGCACUCAGGCUGCGCCUGACACCACACUACUCCCAGGGAGCCCUUGAUGACAAAGACACUGUUCCUGGCACAACUCUAAGAAAGAGACAUGGGCCUUGGAGUGAUGGGAGAAACCCAAAACCAUGCCCAUGUCCCCACAAGCUUCCAGCCCACCUCUUCCCCUGCCACCCCCCAGAGAGCUCUGUCCGUCCAAGUCCCAAAAUACACAUUGGCA
ensembl:lncRNA